CAAUAGCGUAUAUUAAAGUUGUUGCAGUUAAAAGCUCGUAGUUGGAUUUCUGGCAGGAGCGACCGGUCGCACGCUAUGCGUGUGAACUUGUGUUGUCUCUGGCCAUCCUUGGGGAGAUCCCGUUUGGCAUUAAGUUGUCGGGCGGGGGAUACCCAUCGUUUACUGUGAAAAAUUAAGAGUGUUUAAAGCAGGCUUAUGCCGUUGAAUAUAUUAGCAUGGAAUAAUAAGAUAGGACUUUGGUAACUAUUUUGUUUGGUUUGUCGUUACAAAGUAAAUGAUUAAUAGGGACAUUGGGGGUAGUUCGUAUUUCGUUGUCAGAGGUGAAAUUCUUGGAUUUCCGUAAAGACGAACUACUGCGAAAGCAUUUACCAAGGAUGUUUUC
rnacentral:rRNA from 1 species